rnacentral:lncRNA from 13 species
CUCUUUUUGCUUUAUUUGUCCUCUGUGUUUUUUUCUCUAAUCACAGACAAAGAAAGUGUUCUGAGGAAAAGUAAGAACUGUGUCAGCAUAGACAAAGUUGUAUCAGUAGGACAGAUAGAAUUAGCGUGGGCCUUGGAGGAAAAAAAAAAUAGAAAAUUGCUAGUAUUUUAACUGAAGAAAUUUAGCACAUGAUCUUGGUUAUGUCGAUGUUGUAACAUUUGAGGAGCAAGAAAUGGAAGAUGAAGUAAUCUAUAAAUUAGUAACCACUUUUAGAUAGGGAAACACAAAGGAAGAUGUGAAGUUACCAAAACUUGGGAGUAGAGAAAACUGGCCAAUGCUUCUGGCACUGAAACCCUGAUGAAAGUUACUGUGAUAGUGCUGAAGAAAUGGGAGAGAAGAAUCAGGAACUGGAAUGGUGGAAAAGACCAGGGAUACAACUACUUCCAGGGAUCACCAGAAGAAAGAACAACAAGAGAGGUGUCCAGGUCCAGCUUUGUACCUUGGCUACAAGAAUCAGGCACUCAUCUUUCCACUUUCCUGUGUUCCUAGCUGUCAGCUGCAGUUGCUUUAAAGACAAAAGUGUCCAUUUGAUCCAUUUUCUUCAUGCCUGGGACUCUAUCUGCUACUAUCAACAUGCCCUUUUCCUGUGCUCUGCCCAUCUACCAGGGAGCCAGGUACUGCUCUCCUCUGACCCUUCUAUAUACACCACCUACCCACCUGGACCUCUAGCUUCUAACUGUCACCAAAUCCCCUGGACAGCAGGUUUUGCCAUUUUUUUGGACUUCCCCAGCUACUGGGACCUCUUCCAAAAGACCUUUAUAUUCCAAGUCUGGCCCUCUCCCACUGUGUCAAGUUUGUAGUUCUGAUGUGUCCCAAAGAGGAUUUGACUUUCUCUCCAGCUGCCAUUGCCUCUUUUUUGCUCCUAUGAUUCAUGCCCAGUUAGAAAAAAAAAUUAUCUUGUUAGAAUCAGACCAACUUUGCUGCUUCAGUUAGAAACUUACAUGCAAUUAUCUCUAUUUAGU